GAUGAACGCUGGCGGCGUGCCUAAUACAUGCGAGUCGAGCGAACAGACGAGGAGCUUGCUCCUCUGACGUUAGCGGCGGACGGGUGAGUAACACGUGGAUAACCUACCUAUAAGACUGGGAUAACUUCGGGAAACCGGAGCUAAUACCGGAUAAUAUAUUGAACCGCAUGGUUCAAUAGUGAAAGACGGUUUUGCUGUCACUUAUAGAUGGAUCCGCGCCGCAUUAGCUAGUUGGUAAGGUAACGGCUUACCAAGGCAACGAUGCGUAGCCGACCUGAGAGGGUGAUCGGCCACACUGGAACUGAGACACGGUCCAGGCUCCUACGGGAGGCAGCAGUAGGGAAUCUUCCGCAAUGGGCGAAAGCCUGACGGAGCAACGCCGCGUGAGUGAUGAAGGUCUUCGGAUCGUAAAACUCUGUUAUUAGGGAAGAACAAAUGUGUAAGUAACUAUGCACGUCUUGACGGUACCUAAUCAGAAAGCCACGGCUAACUACGUG
rnacentral:rRNA from 1 species